rnacentral:rRNA from 1 species
CGGAACGGGUGAGUAACGCGUGAGGAACCUGCCUCAAAGAGGGGGACAACAGUUGGAAACGACUGCUAAUACCGCAUAAGCCCACGGCUCGGCAUCGAGCAGAGGGAAAAGGAGUGAUCCACUUUGAGAUGGCCUCGCGUCCGAUUAGCUAGUUGGUGAGGUAACGGCCCACCAAGGCGACGAUCGGUAGCCGGACUGAGAGGUUGAACGGCCACAUUGGGACUGAGACACGGCCUAG